UAUGUGUGUCUAGGGUUGGACAGCUCUGGGUGAAAGAGUGAGAUGAGUCGUUAGCUCUAUGCCGCUCAUCAGGCACUCAUAGGUUCAGUAGCCCACUGUUGCUCGUCCGAUUCAGUUCGGGACCCGUUAGCUCUUCAAAUAAGGGUAGUUAUUAGCCCAUGUAGGAAUAUCGUCCUACAUAUCAGAAGUGGGAUAGGGUCCGCGUGUGCCACUGCGUGUGGAAAACCGUGAAAAUCACGGCGCGAGUGAAAAGAAAAGUGAAAAUUUCGGAGACGACGACGCAAAAGGCAGCGAGACAACAUGGCCGCCACCGUGUGGAGAAAAAUGCGGCGUAGAAGCAGCGAAAUGCGACAAGAUAGGACUGCGAAGACCAUCGAGAAGCGCCCCAGCAACUGUGUGGUGGAGCACCCGGCGAUGGAAGUAGCGCAAGUACCCCUGAGUGCCCCAGGAAAGGGAAAUAAAAAGAGAAAAAUUGAAAGGGGAAUAUGUUUCUUUGAAUUGAAAAAAGUCAUGAUAAAUUUCUGAGAAAUUUUUGGCAAUUCCAGAAAUUUCUAUGUGUUAACCCUUUUGUGUAUGCUAUGUGUGAAUGGUGGCCACCCGCACAAAAUAAUUGUCUUGUCUUGUCUUGCAAUAACAUGUCGUAACAGGAAUUCCUUUUCAGGUUAUUCAUGAUAAUUUUUGAAAAUAUUUCAUGUGAAACUGCAUAGGAAAAUUCAUAAGAAAAAAAUGAAAAAUGUUUUAAAAGUGUUUCAUAUGUUCGUGAAAUUAGCCGAGUUUCAUGAAACAAGAUUCGGCGAGAUUGAUGAAACAUGAAAUGUUUUUGCUGGAAUUUGACCAUAUCGUGACAUUUCGGUCGUGCCGAUUGAAUACUCGGGUAUUGCGUCAUAUUAAAUGUCAUUUUAUAUGCGUGUUUGAUUGUUUUGAAUAUUCAAGGUAUUUUGUGAGGAAAUGCAAGAAAAAUUCCAUUAAAUAUCAUAAAGAAAUUGCUGCAGAGAAACACAAGUCGAGAAGGCAAAACAACACGGUUGCCAUGCCCAUGGGAACAAAGAAGCUAAGCGCAAUAAUACAGCGAUUUGAUUCAGAUUGACCGACUGCAUUGACACUGAAGAUUGGCUUGUAGAAGUUGAAAAGGCGCGUUGAUGUAUCAUUGGGAAGAGAGAGUGAUAAUUCUUUAUGCAUCUAUGUGAUUGAGGAGACCAGCAAAAAAAAAUGGUUCAUUGAGCCAAAGCGAGGCUGGAUUCGUGGCAAAAAUUUCGCGAUGAAUUGUUGCAAUUCUUUCCUACCGUUGUGGAUUUAAGGGCAUCAUUGUUGACACAAACUUUGAAUCUCUCACGCAACUUCUCCGCGUGCUAAUUGAUGCGGAACAAAACAUUGAAACAUAGACGAUUCCAAGCAAGACAGGCGCUAUUCCAAGCGCAACUCUGGGUAAAAUUCAGGGCGAUACCAUCCGUACCGCCAUGGCAAGAAGAAUGACAUUGGGAAGCACACAAGGAAGCCAAAAAGGAGAAUGAGUAGAAAAGCACCGAAGAUCGACGAAGCUCUGAGAACUUUGUUACAGAUGCAAGAAGACCGGACAUUUAAUUGCUCAGUGCCCAAAAAUCAGCGAAUCUUAAGUAAAUAAUUCCAAUGAAUUCCGAGGAGAGAUGAAGAUGAUUAAAUUAAAUUUCUUGGAGAUACGAAACAAAGUAGAUGAAAUCAAUAAAAGAAUCUUAAGCCUACUGAGUGUAGAUCAAUGUGAGAUAGAAUAAAGAAAUUACAGAAAAGUAUUAUUAUUUAUUCGAGGUUUAAUUAGAUGUUUUUUCAAAACAAAUUUAAAAAGAUAACCUUAAGUUUACAGGAAAAAAGUGAAAUACAGAUCGCAAGGUAAGCCUGCUAAAUAGAUUGGAGAAUAAUUUCUUUGUCAUUUUAGAGAAUGGCCAUACAACGAGGAAGCAACAAAGAAAUGUGAAGGAUUUAAAAAAUAUCAAAUAUUAUAUGCUCCGCUCAGACACAAGCUAGAAGUAAUGAAGGAAGGGAAUCUCAAGCGUAGGACAGGAAUUGAGGACUGGAUAGAUAUUAAGGAAGGCUAUGUGCCAAAGUCAAGCAAUGGCUGUGUGCCGCUUGAAAGCUGAGUGCGCUAAACCAAGGAUUCAAUAUCAAGUAGAUGCAAUGAAGAAAAGCAACCUGAAGUGUAUAAAAGGAAUUAAGAACUGGAUAGAAGGAAGAAAAUCACUGGCCAAGUCGAGAGCCGAAGCAAGAAGACUUCGUCUUCACCUGCUGAGCCCCAGGCUUAGUUGCUUCACAGAGUUCAUAGUACUAUGUGUACUCGAUCAUGGAAAAAGGCAAAAGAUUAAAGAACACAAGAUGACAA